ACGAACGCUGGCGGCGUGCCUUACACAUGCAAGUCGAACGAGGCCCAUCUGGUGGCAACACCAGGGAAGGCCGAGUGGCGAACGGGUGCGUAACACGUGAGCAACCCACCCCGAAGACCGGGAUAACACCGGGAAACCGGUGCUAAUACCGGAUGCCGUCACAGGACCGCAUGGUCCAGUGACGAAAGGAUUCCGCUUCGGGACGGGCUCGCGGCCUAUCAGCUUGUUGGUGGGGUAAUGGCCCACCAAGGCUUCGACGGGUAGCUGGUCUGAGAGGACGAUCAGCCACACUGGGACUGAGACACGGCCCAGACUCCUACGGGAGGCAGCAGUGGGGAAUCUUGCGCAAUGGGCGAAAGCCUGACGCAGCAACGCCGCGUGCGGGAAGACGGCCUUAGGGUUGUAAACCGCUUUCAGCAGGGACGAAAAUGACGGUACCUGCAGAAGAAGCUCCGGCUAACUACGU
rnacentral:rRNA from 1 species